GCGAGGAAUAUUGCGCAAUGGAGGCAACUCUGACGCAGCCAUGCCGCGUGCAGGAAGAAGGCGCUACGCGUUGUAAACUGCUUUUAACCGGGAAGAAACCCCAGGACGUGUCCUGGGUUGACGGUACCGGAGGAAUAAGCACCGGCUAACUUCGUGCCAGCAGCCGCGGUAAUACGAAGGGUGCAAGCGUUAUCCGGAUUCAUUGGGUUGAAAGGGUGCGUAGGCGGAGCGUUAAGUCAGUGGUGAAAUCCUGCAGCUUAACUGUAGACUUGCCAUUGAUACUGGCGCUCUUGAGUGCGCUUGAAGUGGGCGGAAUGUGCCGUGUAGCGGUGAAAUGCUUAGAUAUGGCACAGAACACCAAUUGCGAAGGCAGCUCACUAUGGCGAUACUGACGCUGAGGCACGAAAGCGUGGGGAUCGAACCGGCUUAGAAACCCUAGUAGUCC
rnacentral:rRNA from 1 species